AGUGAACGCUGGCGGUAGGCCUAACACAUGCAAGUCGAACGGCAGCACAGGAGAGCUUGCUCUCUGGGUGGCGAGUGGCGGACGGGUGAGGAAUACAUCGGAAUCUACUUUUUCGUGGGGGAUAACGUAGGGAAACUUACGCUAAUACCGCAUACGACCUACGGGUGAAAGCAGGGGAUCUUCGGACCUUGCGCGAUUGAAUGAGCCGAUGUCGGAUUAGCUAGUUGGCGGGGUAAAGGCCCACCAAGGCGACGAUCCGUAGCUGGUCUGAGAGGAAGAGCAGCCACACUGGAACUGCGACACGGUCCAGACUCCUACGGGAGGGAGCAGUGGGGAAUAUUGGACAGUGGGCGCAAGCCUGAUCCAGCCAUACCGCGUGGGUGAAGAAGGCCUUCGGGUUGUAAAGCCCUUUUGUUGGGAAAGAAAUCCAGCUGGUUAAUACCCGGUUGGGAUGACGGUACCCAAAGAAUAAGCACCGGCUAACUUCGUGCCAGCCGCCGCCGUAA
rnacentral:rRNA from 1 species